UCAGGCCUAACACAUGCAAGUCGAACGGUAACGCGGGGCAACCUGGCGACGAGUGGCGAACGGGUGAGUAAUGCAUCGGAACGUGCCCGGUAGUGGGGGAUAACUGCUCGAAAGAGCAGCUAAUACCGCAUACGACCUGAGGGUGAAAGGGGGGGAUCGCAAGACCUCUCGCUAUCGGAGCGGCCGAUGUCGGAUUAGCUAGUUGGUGGGGUAAAGGCCCACCAAGGCAACGAUCCGUAGCUGGUCUGAGAGGACGACCAGCCACACUGGGAGGGAGACACGGCCCAGACUCCUACGGGAGGCAGCAGUGGGGAAUUUAGGACAAUGGAC
rnacentral:rRNA from 1 species